AUGAUGACUUGGCUGUCUUCAUCAGGGCUCUCUCUCAAGCUAUGUUCAUUGACUGAGCUUUGCCCCAUUAGACGUCUGCUCUCCUGCCCCAGAUGUGCUACACAGAUUCCUGGCCUCUUGACUCAAACCCCCGGGAACGAGGCCAGUGGGCACUUUCUCCUCUGGUCCCUGCCAAGGUUGUCACUGUGGAUAAAAGCUUUCCUACAAGGCCCACAUCUCCCUUUGCUUCAACCUUGGCUUACCACCUUCUCAUCUGAGUCCUGCAGCAUCUACAGUCCGUUCCACAUCCUCACCCCAUACUGGUGGAGAACAUGCAUGGCCGGAAGUUGGGAGGGAAGGGAAGGCAGAGAGCUUUGAUCUAAGGCAUGCCUCAGACCUCUUUGUCUCUCUUGGACCACAUUAGGACAAUCCUUUCUAUUAGAAAGGACUAGAAAAUAGUAGUUCCAUCUACGAGAAAGAAUGCAGCCUCCUACUUUUAACCACAG
rnacentral:lncRNA from 1 species